UCUACGUAUAGAAAAUAAGAGCGAGAAAGAAAGAAAGAAAGAAAGAAAGAUGGAAAAGGUUCAUGAGAAACCGCUAUCUCUUUAUAAUGGAUCAUUAUCUGUUUUUAGAUUAGGAGAUUUGGCUGUGAAAAUAACAAAGGUGAAAAAGGGAUCAUUAAAUAAUGAUAAUCUUUCACCCCCAACUUCAUUGUUAGUUGUUUCACCAAUCAUACCAGGAACUUAUCCAGUUUUACUCUUUUUUCAUGGCUUCGUUCUCAAGCCUAUAUGGUACAAGUCUCUCCUUCAACAUAUUUCUUCCCACGGCUAUAUAGUUGUUGCUCCACAGCGAAGAAGUGAAAAAAGCAGCCAAAGUUACAGAAUGGUUAAGUAAAGCCCUCGAAUCCGUACUGCCGGAGAAAGUACAGCCGGAUCUACUCCAGCUCGCCGUCUCCGGCCACAGCAGAGGUGGUAAAAUAGCAUUUGCACUAGCUUUAGGAUAUGGCAUCAAAUUUCAAGCACUUCUAGGAAUUGAUCCAGUUGCAGGUAAUUAGGAUGUCAAAUGGACGAAUUGAGCUAAAUUUGGGCGAGUAAAUGUUUUGAAUCAAUAGGCGUGUUGGUCUAUUGAUUCACAUGAGCUAAAUUUACGUCACUUACGUGCAGGUUUUUCUCCGUCCAACCGAUCUGCUCCAAAAAUUCUUAAAUAUAUUCCUCGUAUUUUCGAUCAGACGGUCCCUGUGGCGGUGAUCGGCGCUGGCUUGUCAAACCAAAGUGCGAAUUGUAUCUUUCCACCCUUCGCACCAAACGGUGUCAACCAUUCGGAGUUUUUUAACGAGUCCAAACCACCUUGCUGUUAUUUUCUGGCUAAAAAUUAUGGACAUACUGAUAUGUUAGAUGACAGAAUUGCUGCAAUUGCGAGUUGGAUUUCAAAGAGUGGGAAGGGACCCAAGGACCUUAUGAGAAAGGCUGUUGGAGGGAUUGUUGUGGCUUUUCUUGAGGCUAAAUUGGGAGAGAAAGUGGAUAAUCUAAAUGCCAUUGUUCAAGAACCUUCUCUUGCUCCCAUCAUCCUUGACCCAGUCAUAUCUGUCAAAUAAUUUUAUCUUGUAAAUGUUUUGUGUUAUUGAUUUUAAAUAGUUGUUCAUAUUGGACGACCACAAAGUAUUCUGUCUCUCAAGAAUAAGUUCAGAUUAAUAUAUAUGCACUGAUAGUAUAAAAAGUUAAUACAUCUUUAUAAGUUAUAUUGGCCUUCUUUUGCCAUGAUCCAGUAUUGGCUUUUCGCCGUGCUCCUUUUUUGGGUUAUAGGGCGGAGAGGGGUAGCAACUAAAGGUGUGGGGGAAGUGCACGGUUAGCCACUAAUAACACAUGUAUUUACUUUUAAACCACCGUUUAAAAUGUCUUUAGUCUUUAGCCACUGCUUUGAUAAACUUUAACUGCUUGGACGAAAA